UUUUUUUGUUUGUUUGUUUGUUUAAAAUGAACACCUAGUAAAAUGCUUUCUCCUUUUGCAGGGUUGAAUAUGAGACUUUUGAUAUACUGGAGGAUGAAGAAGUGCGUCAGGGAUUAAAAACGUUCUCAAAUUGGCCAACCUACCCUCAGCUGUAUGUGAGAGGGGAUCUUGUUGGAGGACUGGAUAUUGUCAAGGAACUGAAAGACAACGGUGAAUUGCUACCUAUACUGAAGGGAGAAAAUUAGUGAACGUUAAGCACGGUGUCCAAGGACUGCAAGAAGUAUUUAGUUAUCGUGGAAUAGUUGAUGACUUGGUCCUGCGAAGUGGACUGAGAGUAGAAAUGCGACAUAGUCAGCUGUGCUCAAUGUGCUUCACAAAGUUGUGCUGAAAAAAACAUAUGUUACAUUUUCCAUGAAGCAUAGAAGGCAAUAAACUCCAGAUUCAGCUAAAAACGAA
rnacentral:lncRNA from 1 species